AACGAACGCUGGCGGCAGGCUUAACACAUGCAAGUCGAGCGCCCCGCAAGGGGAGCGGCAGACGGGUGAGUAACGCGUGGGAAUCUACCCAUCUCUACGGAAUAACGCAUGGAAACGUGUGCUAAUACCGUAUACGUCCUUCGGGAGAAAGAUUUAUCGGAGAUGGAUGAGCCCGCGUUGGAUUAGCUAGUUGGUGGGGUAAAGGCCUACCAAGGCGACGAUCCAUAGCUGGUCUGAGAGGAUGAUCAGCCACACUGGGACUGAGACACGGCCCAGACUCCUACGGGAGGCCGCAGUGUGGAAUAUUGGACAAUGGGCGCAAGCCUGAUCCAGCCAUGCCGCGUGAGUGAUGAAGGCCCUAGGGUUGUAAAGCUCUUUCACCGGUGAAGAUAAUGACGGUAACCGGAGAAGAAGCCCCGGCUAACUUCGUGCCAGCCGCCGCAGUAAGAC
rnacentral:rRNA from 1 species